CACUUGCCGGGGAUGUGAAGACAGCUUGGAAGGUAACCAGGACAACAAAAGAGGGCCUUUGGUUCACCAUAUACUGUAUAUACUAACUAGUUACUGGAGGGAAGCAUCCUCUUCCUCGCCGACUUCCUCUUCUUCUUUCUCCUCCUCCCCCUCUCGUCUCGUUCCCUGGAACUAGGGAACACGCUUGAUUCCCAAAUUUACCUCAACCAAAAGCGUUGUAGACUGGUUUUCUGCCUUCCAGGGGGGAGAAUCCUUGCACGAUGGAGAAUGGCAUGGGGUACGGAAGCGCGUCCUUCGACUCACCACCACUCUACGGAGGGAAGGCCCAGGGAUUUCUCUCUCAUCUUAACAGAAUGAAGCUCAAAAAAUGCUGGAUGGGGUCCCCGACUGGCUGAAGCGCCGUGCGUUUCUGAGCCCAAAGUUGCAGACCUCCAGUACUACUACUGACUGUCUGAGGUCAUUGGUACGAUGGCCACCCAAACGAGAACUCCCCGGUUCCAAUUUGAUUCGCUGGGGAUUUGGGAUUAUUACAAUAGCGCGAAAGCUUUCGGUAUAGGAUGUCCAAGAUAUUCUGCUUAAUAUUUCAGACGAGGGAAAACAGUCUACAAGGAAUGAAACUGCAAAAAGUUCGAGGGUAAUCCCCACUGUGGAUCACGAAAGUUUGUAACAAGCUCCACUAGCUUAUCAGUAAACUUUACUCAAAGGGCAAUUCCAAUGUUGCCAAAAAACGAAGUUGGAUUCGUGAAAUAAACCAAAGUGCAAUUCGACAAGAACGAGGUUGAAGAGAAAAGUCAGCUUCUUUGAUGAAGACCAAUCUCAAAUUUUCUCCAAUUCAACUCAAACAAGCCAAUAAGACCCUCCAACAAGUAAAUGGUACGAAUAUGGACAUGAAAUGUGGACAUGGAACAUCGAACCGAUUUGAAAGAGCCAGCAGAAAAUGAUUAUUAUUAUUAUUGUUAUUAUUACUAUUAUUUUAUCUUAUUUUUGGGUGUGGAGGGGAUUUCCUUACCUUUUAUCGCUAAUGGAAUCCUUUUAGAGCUAA